GCCGGGUUAGCUCAGUUGGUUAGAGCGUGGUGCUAAUAACGCCCAAGUUCACAGGUUCAAUCCCUGCUUACUGCA
rnacentral:tRNA from 1 species